UCGCCCCAUCCCCAAAUCGCGCACCCAUAUCCCUAAAUCCCGAAAGUCUCUCUCUCUUCCUCUCUCCAACGUCUCUCGAUCUCCCUUCUCCACUCCGGCCUCUCUUGAUAUGGCUUCCAUUUCCAUUGCUUGUUGAAGACGCGGAUCUCUCGGUCGUUGCCCUCCUUGCUGGAACACGCCAAAGUCCGAGAAGGCCCGCAAGAGAAGAAGCACCAGCAACAGCCGCAACAGUAGCUCCCCUUCUCCAAUAGCCGCAGCAGGUGCCUUUGUUUGGAGUCGCAAAGCAUUGGUUUCAGAGUACGGAAGAUGUUCGACUCCAUUCCUCAAAAAUUGCAUUUUUCUUCUCUCCAUUCCUCAAAAAUUGCAUGGUCGUACCAGCCUGAUGGAUGAUUGGAUCUCACCCCUAUGUUCAUGAAAAGGGUGAUGUUCUAACUCAAUUUUUGUGCCAUAG